rnacentral:rRNA from 1 species
AGCAGCCGCGGUAAUUCCAGCUCCAAUAGCGUAUAUUAAAGUUGUUGCAGUUAAAAAGCUCGUAGUUGAAUUUCGGGACCAAUCUGCCGGUCGUGCCUCCGGUACGCACUGGUUUUAUUGGUUUCUCCCUUCCGACGAACCAUGAUGUCAUUAAUUUGGUGUCAUGGGGAAUCAGGACUGUUACUUUGAAAAAAUUUAGAGUGUUUAUAGCAGGCUCACGCUUGAAUACAUUAGCAUGGAAUAAUGAAAUAGGACGUUUGACCCUAUUUUGUUGGUUUCUAGGAUCGACGUAAUGAUUAAUAGGGAUAGUUGGGGGCAUUAGUAUUCAAUUGUCAGAGGUGAAAUUCUUGGAUUUAUUGAGGAUCAACUAUUGCGAAAGCAUUUGCCAAGGAUGUUUUCAUUAAUCAAGAACGAAAGUUAGGGGAUCGAAGACGAUCAGAUACCGCCGUAGUCUUAAACCAUAAACUAUGCCGACUAGGGAUCAGAUGAUGUCAAAUUUUUUAAUGACUCAUUCGGCGCC